UACGGGGGGGGCAAGCGUUGUCCGGAAUCAUUGGGCGUAAAGCGCGCGUAGGUGGCUUCGUAAGUCCGUUGUGAAAGUCAAAGGCUCAACCUUUGAAAGCCGAUGGAUACUGUGGAGCUAGAGUACGGAAGAGGCGAGUGGAAUUCCUGGUGUAGCGGUGGAAUGCGCAGAUAUCAGGAGGAACACCAAUAGCGAAGGCAGCUCGCUGGGACGUUACUGACACUGAGGCGCGAAAGCGUGGGGAGCGAACAGG
rnacentral:rRNA from 1 species